rnacentral:rRNA from 1 species
GUGGGGAAUUUUGGACAAUGGGCGCAAGCCUGAUCCAGCAAUGCCGCGUGCAGGAAGAAGGCCUUCGGGUUGUAAACUGCUUUUGUACGGAACGAAACGGUCCUGGUUAAUACCUGGGGCUAAUGACGGUACCGUAAGAAUAAGCACCGGCUAACUACGUGCCAGCAGCCGCGGUAAUACGUAGGGUGCGAGCGUUAAUCGGAAUUACUGGGCGUAAAGCGUGCGCAGGCGGUGCUGUAAGACAGGCGUGAAAUCCCCGGGCUCAACCUGGGGAUUGCGCUUGUGACUGCAAGGCUGGAGUGCGGCAGAAGGGGAUGGAAUUCCGCGUGUAGCAGUGAAAUGCGUAGAUAUGCGGAGGAACACCGAUGGCGAAGGCAAUCCCCUGGGCCUGCACUGACGCUCAUGCACGAAAGCGUGGGGAGCAAACAGGAUUAGAAACCCUUGUAGUCC